rnacentral:rRNA from 1 species
UAACUACUGGAAACGGUAGCUAAUACCGCAUAACGUCGCAAGACCAAAGUGGGGGACCUUCGGGCCUCAUGCCAUCAGAUGUGCCCAGAUGGGAUUAGCUAGUAGGUGGGGUAACGGCUCACCUAGGCGACGAUCCCUAGCUGGUCUGAGAGGAUGACCAGCCACACUGGAACUGAGACACGGUCCAGACUCCUACGGGAGGCAGCAGUGGGGAAUAUUGCACAAUGGGCGCAAGCCUGAUGCAGCCAUGCCGCGUGUGUGAAGAAGGCCUUCGGGUUGUAAAGCACUUUCAGCGGGGAGGAAGGCGUUAAGGUUAAUAACCUUGGCGAUUGACGUUACCCGCAGAAGAAGCACCGGCUAACUCCGUGCCAGCAGCCGCGGUAAUACGGAGGGUGCAAGCGUUAAUCGGAAUUACUGGGCGUAAAGCGCACGCAGGCGGUCUGUCAAGUCGGAUGUGAAAUCCCCGGGCUCAACGUGGGAACUGCAUUCGAAACUGGCAGGCUAGAGUCUUGUAGAGGGGGGUAGAAUUCCAGGUGUAGCGGUGAAAUGCGUAGAGAUCUGGAGGAAUACCGGUGGCGAAGGCGGCCCCCUGGACAAAGACUGACGCUCAGGUGCGAAAGCGUGGGGAGCAAACAGGAUUAGAUACCCUGGUAGUCCACGCCGUAAACGAUGUCUAGUUGGAGGUUGUGCCCUUGAGGCGUGGCUUCCGGAGCUAACGCGUUAAAUCGACCGCCUGGGGAGUACGGCCGCAAGGUUAAAACUCAAAUGAAUUGACGGGGGCCCGCACAAGCGGUGGAGCAUGUGGUUUAAUUCGAUGCAACGCGAAGAACCUUACCUGGUCUUGACAUCCACAGAACUUUCCAGAGAUGGAUUGGUGCCUUCGGGAACUGUGAGACAGGUGCUGCAUGGCUGUCGUCAGCUCGUGUUGUGAAAUGUUGGGUUAAGUCCCGCAACGAGCGCAACCCUUAUCCUUUGUUGCCAGCGGUUCGGCCGGGAACUCAAAGGAGACUGCCAGUGAUAAACUGGAGGAAGGUGGGGAUGCCCUCAAGUCAUCAUGGCCCUUACGACCAGGGCUACACACGUGCUACAAUGGCAUAUACAAAGAGAAGCGACCUCGCGAGAGCAAGCGGACCUCAUAAAGUAUGUCGUAGUCCGGAUUGGAGUCUGCAACUCGACUCCAUGAAGUCGGA